CCAAAAAAACCUGAAUCAGUGUAUGUACAGUACUUCAACUGCCAUUAAAAAAGAACCAUCCCUUCUCUGAGUAGAGUGCUGAAAGGCAAGAACUUAGUCCAUCCCAGGAAAACCUGGGAUGUUAUUGUUUAUGGAUUCUGUUACUGUUUUAUUGAAUGUAUUUUGAGCAAUAUAAUUGCUGACUGUUGUAAGCUGCCCUGAGUCCCUCCGGGUGAGAAGGGCGGGGUAAAAGUGAUGUAAAUAACUAAAUAAAUAAAUAAAACCUAAAAGAAGCACUGAUUCCCUUGACACCCUUUGCUGUCAUCACCAUGCACUGCUUCUAGAGGAAUGACAGCAGCAGUGGCCAGGGACUGCAGGAUCCCCUGAGGCAGUUCUGGCACUUUCUCCUUUUCACAGAAUGACCAUUGAGUUAUCCACAAGUUGAUAUUGUUGUGAUGGAGUCUUUGAGUAAUUAUACUACUAGGUGCACUAGAAGAGGAAGAAAGACUACUUGUGAACAAGACUCCGACAAGGAGCAACAAAGGAAGCGGAUCCGGGAAAUACUUACGGAGCCUACUGAUGAUGACACACUUGAGGGCUUUGAGGGGGAUGAUGGGAUUGAGAAUCAGGAGGAUAGGAUGACAAGUUCAGAGGAUGAGGUAAUGGACUGGACUAAGGUGCGAGAGAUCCAGGACAUCUUUAGAGAACCCACAAGUAGCAACACGUUUGAGGGUUGGCACAGUGGGGAUCCGGCUGAAUCUUGGGGAGUUAUGGGGUUGGAUAAAAGAUGGACAGAUUGGAGGGAUCGGCAAGGGGAUUCAGCUGAAAGGAGGAUAGGAUGACAAGUUCAGAGGAUGAGGUAAUGGACUGGACUAAGGUGCGGGAGAUCCAGGACAUCUUUAGAGAACCCACAAGUAGCAACACAUUCGAUGGUUGGCACAGUGGGGAUCCAACUUAAUCUUGGGGAGUUAUGGGUUUGGAUAAAAGAUGGAUAGAUUGGAGGGCUCGGCAAGGGGCUUCAGCUGAAAGGAGGUCUGGUGGGGAGUUGUCUGAUUCCAGUUCUGAGGAGGAAUUGAGGCAAGAGGCUUCAGCUGCUAGCAGGGUGUUGGCUGAUUCCAGUUCUGAGGAGGAAUUGUGAAUAAAAGUGGCGUUGGGAAAUGGGGCCCCUUUGCAGUCAGCAAGGCGUUGAUGGGUAUUCGUGUGUCUUUGUGAGCUGUUUGGGAAGACGUGUUUAGGAAGACUGCUGUGGAUAUAAGUUUAAUCCAGAUUAUUCUUGGCUAUGGGGGUUGGAACUGUGAGGGCUUUCUCUGGACUGCCUUGUGUUGAUUUAUGCAUUAGUUGCCAUUCUGCAUUCUACGCCUUGGUUCUGACCUGGACUGGAUUCUCGUGUUUGCUGCAUUCUCCUGCUUUGACCUGGAUUGGAUUCAACGAUGACGAUACUGUGCUUGACUGACUUCGCCAGAUGUCUUUGGCCCCCCACUGUUCGUCUCUUCCUGCCUGCUGGCGUUCUGCUGUGAAUUGGAGUGCUUUUUCUGUUGUUUUGCAAAGUUGGGAGUUUGAUCCGGAUUAUACUCCGGUUAAAUCUGGAUUAUUUUCCAGGGUUUGGGGUGUUGCUUUAACUGUGGGAAAUACUGUGCUUCACACUGAAAAUUAAGUGUUUUGAGCCUUUUGAGUUUGUUUUUGGGCUCUUUUUGUUAUGAACUAAUAAACUCUACUUUUACUAAAGACUGGUCUGGCGCUUUAAGACGACUGUCUUGCAACACUGAGAUAGAGCGAAAUAUAAAUAAAGAUUAUUAUUAUUAUUAUUAUUAUUAUUAUUAUUAUUAUUAUUAUUAGAAAAGAACAUUGAAACUCAGGCCUCAUCUUCAUGGGCUGCUUAAUUGGGGUGGAGAGAUCUGGAGCAGAGAUGGUAACAUAUAUCAUCUCCAGCCCACAGUGGCAGUGCGAUGGACAGUCUAGACCAGACAUGGGUUAAACUUUGGCCGUCCAGGUGUUGUGGACUUCAACGCCCGUUUUUGUUCAAAAGAUAUAUAGCCACUUGUGCUCCUUCUAUUUUUUUAUCAGUUUUAUACUAAUUUAUGCAAUGCUUUUGAUACAAAAUAAAAUAAAUUCUUAAGAUCUGGUAAGAUGGCUGGGAUUUCACCUGGGGGGGGCACAGUUUACCCAUGCCUGGUAUAGACAGCCCACCUUUGCUGAAACUGCUCUGGCUCUGUUGGGCCAUCUUCUUACCAUCUGUAUUACUGUUGUUGCGUCCAGUGGCUGCACAGUUCUAUGGUAUCCUGCCUCCUUCUUCCUAGUUGUGUGUGUACCUCUGAUGACAUUGCCACAAGGCAUCUGUAAUAAUCAAGAACUCUGAAAGAGCUCUGCAUUCAUCUGAGAACAGUGAUACUAAUAACUAGGUAUGUGAGAUCCAGAAAAAAAAUGGUUCUAAACUCUCUUUGAAAGUAGGGGGCGCUGGUGCUUGGUUUCUAAAGAUAUUUCCAAAUUUUGAAGGGAAAAAGUUUGAAAUUUUCUGAAAAUUCCAAAUAUUCAUAAUUAAUUCGUUAAUGGUGGACGCGCAUGCACAAUCAUGAAAAAGAGCAUUAGGGGUCUCUCCUGCCCUCAUUUUUGAGCUAUCCUGAUGAAACUUGCUACAGUGGUAGAACACAUUGACCACUGUUAGCUCACCAAAUUUCAGAAAAUUUUCCUUAUCCUCUGAUUUUAGUUUAUAUAAAAAACAUUUUUUAAUAAUUACAGAAAUCUGUUCCUGGUUUAAAAGUGUUAUUUCCUGUUUUAUUGGGUUGUCUUUACUUUGAAAGUCAUUGUUCUACUUCAGAAACGUUGUUUUUGUGGCUGAAACUCUGUUAAAUUGGUGGACACUUAGCAAACUAUAAUGUGCUAUUAUAGCACGAUGUCGCUUCUGGUGGUGUAAUAAAGUUUUGCCAUGUUUUUGUGACUGAAUCAAUUAGGAAGUGACAGUUAUCAACCAGGAACAGAAAUCAUAACACACUAUCAAACCACUUCUCACAGAUGCCCAUCGGCCUCAGAAUAAGGAAAUCUGUUCCUGGUUUGAAAGUGUUAUUUCCUGUUUCAUAGGGUUUUUUUUGGGGGGGGGGGUGAGAGUUUGUGACCUGCCCAAGAUCACCCAGAUUUCCAUGUCUGAAUGGGGAAUCAAGCCGAGGACCAAAGGGGGUGGGGAAUGUUAAGAGGAGAGAGGAACUGGGACAUCUGGGACAUGCAUCUGGGAGGCCAAACAACCAACCAAAGAGAGGCACUUGAAUCCAGAGGAUUCAGCAAUGUCACUUUGCUUCCACUUCCCAGAUGAAAAGAGGGCAGUACACCACCAGCAGAGAGGUUUUUUUUGGGAAUGAUGGGACACACAUUGCUUUGAGCAGGACAAAGGUGUCAGAUUUUUAAAACAAAACAACCCCUUUCCUCUCCUCAAACUUCCAACCCCCACUUUUGUCUCAAAAAAUAGAUGCUUCUGCUUACUCCUUUAUUUUAGAAGAAACUGUGUAAGAUUUUUAAAACAACCCCUUUCCCCUCCCCAAACUUCCAAUCUCCACUUUUGUCUCAAAAAAUAAAUGCUUCUUCUUUUACUCCUUUAUUUAAGAAGAAACUGGCUGCGUCAGAUUUUUAAAACAAAAACCAACAACCCCUUUAUCAUCCCACCCCUAAAAAUACCUUCUCUUCUGUAAAGAGUCAGCUCCUUUUUUCAAUGGCUGCCAGUGCCUCUAGGUUCCCCCUGCAACAACAGGCCAGGCAGGUAGGCAGCAGCAAAAGACCAACCAGCCAACCACCCUCCUCGCUCCAACUUCCAGGCCAGAAUGAUCCUCGUGGCAUGCAGCAGACAGUUUUAAAGGAGGAUGUCCAAACCCCUCUCCUUACAUGAAUGUCCACACCGAUUGGGCAGGAAGGCAAGCCCAGGCUAGGCUGCUCCUCCCUGCACACAAAGUUUGGUUGCUUCAAAAAUGCUUUCUCAUAUAUCUGAUUGAAUUACAA
ensembl:lncRNA